UAUAGUUGCAGGUAGAGAUACGCUGUAUACUCAUGAUAUCGAAUUAACGUUUAAGCGAUAUGUAAUAUCGUCGAUCAUGAGGCCACCCUUGCGGUGGCUUUUUUACUU
rnacentral:sRNA from 12 species